rnacentral:rRNA from 2 species
ACGGGAGGCAGCAGUAGGGAAUCUUCCACAAUGGACGAAAGUCUGAUGGAGCAACGCCGCGUGAGUGAAGAAGGGUUUCGGCUCGUAAAACUCUGUUGUUAAAGAAGAACAUAUCUGAGAGUAACUGUUCAGGUAUUGACGGUAUUUAACCAGAAAGCCACGGCUAACUACGUGCCAGCAGCCGCGGUAAUACGUAGGUGGCAAGCGUUGUCCGGAUUUAUUGGGCGUAAAGCGAGCGCAGGCGGUUUUUUAAGUCUGAUGUGAAAGCCUUCGGCUCAACCGAAGAAGUGCAUCGGAAACUGGGAAACUUGAGUGCAGAAGAGGACAGUGGAACUCCAUGUGUAGCGGUGAAAUGCGUAGAUAUAUGGAAGAACACCAGUGGCGAAGGCGGCUGUCUGGUCUGUAACUGACGCUGAGGCUCGAAAGUAUGGGUAGCAAACAGGAUUAGAUACCCUGGUAGUCCAUACCGUAAACGAUGAAUGCUAAGUGUUGGAGGGUUUCCGCCCUUCAGUGCUGCAGCUAACGCAUUAAGCAUUCCGCCUGGGGAGUACGGCCGCAAGGCUGAAACUCAAAGGAAUUGACGGGGGCCCGCACAAGCGGUGGAGCAUGUGGUUUAAUUCGAAGCUACGCGAAGAACCUUACCAGGUCUUGACAUACUAUGCAAAUCUAAGAGAUUAGACGUUCCCUUCGGGGACAUGGAUACAGGUGGUGCAUGGUUGUCGUCAGCUCGUGUCGUGAGAUGUUGGGUUAAGUCCCGCAACGAGCGCAACCCUUAUUAUCAGUUGCCAGCAUUAAGUUGGGCACUCUGGUGAGACUGCCGGUGACAAACCGGAGGAAGGUGGGGAUGACGUCAAAUCAUCAUGCCCCUUAUGACCUGGGCUACACACGUGCUACAAUGGAUGGUACAACGAGUUGCGAACUCGCGAGAGUAAGCUAAUCUCUUAAAGCCAUUCUCAGUUCGGAUUGUAGGCUGCAACUCGCCUACAUGAAGUCGGAAUCGCUAGUAAUCGCGGAUCAGCAUGCCGCGGUGAAUACGUUCCCGGGCCUUGUA